GACAGAGGGGGCAAGCGUUGUCCGGAUUGACUGGGCGUACGAGCGAGCGCGCAGGCGGCAUGCGACGUGCCCUCGGUGACCGAGGCGGGGAGCUCAACUCCCGACGGCCAGGUAGACGCGCAGGCUAGAGGCAGGGAGAGGGCAGUGGAAUACCCGGUGGAGCGGUGAAAUGCGUAGAGAGUCGGGUGGAACACCGAGGGG
rnacentral:rRNA from 1 species